AUCAGGCCCGGGUCGUGACAUUUGGUAUCAGAGCCGACCUAGCAUUUGGGCAUGGUGAGGGGGCUCGAGUAGGAAAGGGCUACCCGUAGACGGAGUCAGAGGACUCGUCACGACGUGGAGCCACCACUGGGCUACGCCUCACAUGCACUAUGCUAGGGUUUGAUCUGGGUUAUGUAGGGGCUUGACGAGGACGUCAAGCCUUUGAGUGGGGGUGAUUGUAACACCCCUGAUUAGUCCCACAUCGAAAGUGGGCAGGAUUAAGAUUGACUUAUAAGAGUUUGAUGAGUGUACUACUAUCAACUUCAGCUUAAGCAUUUUGGUCAGUGGUUUAGACCAAACGAAGUUAAUAAGCUAGUUCGCCCAUCAGGCUCGAGUCAUAAUAUUUGGUAUCAGAGCCGACCUAGCAUUUGGG
rnacentral:lncRNA from 1 species